AUGCUGAAGGUGAGUUUUUGGUCCCAGCUGUGCUCGUGUGAUUGUAUUUGGCAGGGUCCCCCAGGUCCCCCCGGCCCUCCCGGCCCCCCUGGACCCCAGGGUGUUAAUGGGAUCCAAGGCCCUCAGGGUAUCCCUGGAAACGACGGGAUACCAGGGAAUCCGGGUUUGCCUGGAAAGCUCGACUAUGUUGGACCGCGGCAGCCACUUCAGGAUUCCACAGACAUAGAUGAGGGAUGUGAAGGGGGCUGCUCCAAGGGGUUGCCAGGGGUACCAGGCAUGGCUGGGGCCAAGGGUGAGAAAGGAGACCAAGGCAAGCCUGGUGCAACCCUUUUGGACAGCUGUGACAGGUGUUUAGAGAGGCUGCAAAAGGAACCAGCCACGCAAGCAGUGGGAGAUCGGUCCUACACAGGAACACCUGGACAUCCGGGGGUGCCCGGAUCACCUGGAAUCAAAGGCGAUCCUGGUGCACCAGGAGAAAGAGGUCCAGCUGGAACUCCAGGAUUCAUGGUGUGUGAGAAAGAGAAACCUCAAGUAGAAAUCAGACGUUGUUUUGUUUGUGGACUUCCUCUCUUCCAUUCAGGGUCAAAGUUCAGCCUCGAACACCCUCGGUAA
rnacentral:lncRNA from 1 species